rnacentral:tRNA from 1 species
GAUGCGGUGUACCCCGAUGGGUAAGGGGGCGGGCCACCGUUGAUGCCGGUUCGAAUCCGGCCCCGCAUCA